UGGCUCGACGUUGCUUUGUAAUGGCAUGAAAAAAUUUCAUAUUCAAGUCACCUUCCAGAAGCCAGAGUAUCCUACUCUUCUGCCUCCAAAACUGCUCUUCUGCCUUAAGAGCAUCAGUUAAUUCCUUCAGGGCCUCUACUAUUUCUUCAGUCGUGGCCUCGUUAUCAGAGUAAAGAUUUUCGACCUUAGCUUUAAGAUCUUCGAUCAUUUUUGCAGAGUUUAUAUCCCUUUCUCUUUUCCACUGAGAUAAUGAUUUUCUGCAGCUGGAUAUAUGAUCCAUUAUGCUUGCAUCAGGGGAAAGAUCAGAGGAGUUCCAGCC
rnacentral:lncRNA from 1 species